ACCCUCAUUAGGCAAACUCUGCCCUAGGAGGAGUAUAAAUCAGCCUCUGCUGCUCAUAAGACUUAAAUGAACACUUUUUUUUUUUCUUAUUACAAACGUAUCUUCUAUGUCACUGCCAAGAAUCCAGUCUCCAGUCUGUUCUAAUGAUCAAGGCCUUACAUGUGCCCCACAGAUUUGGAAGUAGUGCAGCUACAUAGUCCUUAGGAGUGAAAGUUGUCUAGAAGCAUAUAAGAAUAACACUCUGGAUUUCUUUUACUCUUGACUGUAAAGCAGUGUUAAGUGUCUUUCUUAGAGGCUGAAUGGACUCCCUGGGAGAACAGCACUUUGCAGAAGAGCUACUAGUAAGGCAGCAAAGGAGCUGGGGUGCACUUUGAGCUGGGAGAAGACAGAACGGAGACAACUGACCUAAACUGCCAAAUGGGAUAUUCCAUACCAUAUGGCAUCAUGUGAACUGGUUGGGCAUCAGCUUGCAGGUGAUCUUGGUUACAGUUGAGCAUCAUAAAGCCUGCACCAGCUACAGAUUCCAGGCCUGCAACAUGCAUGAUCAGAACAUUCUUCUGCACUCCUCAGGCAUGUUUGCCUUUUUUGUGUGAUUUUUCUAUUGUCUUAUUUUUUAUUUUAUUUUUUUUCUAUGAAUCCCAGUUCCCUAAAUACUGUACUGCUCUACUGGAUCUCAGAGAGCUUUUAGAUCUCAGCUAUUUUACGGAGAUUACUUUUGUAUUUCCUAACAAUCUGCCUUGCACUAUACUCAUGCCUACUAUCGUAGGCAUGUACUAUAUUGUAUCCUACUAUACGAUUGCCUACUAUUGUAAUAGUUUGAGGCUAUGAGUGAAGAGAGGUUUGCUGCAAAAGUUGGUUGCUUUGUGUAAUCUUUUUGCUUGUGUUAUUCUGUUUAUCUUAUGACUUGACAAGUUAUCUCUGUGGUUUGUGUGAAUUAAGGAGGAGGAUAAAUGCGUAAAUUCACCAGUUGAAUUGCAUACUUAAGACAUAUGAAAAUUUUUAGAUUCAUGUUUUUUUUUUUUUAUCCUCUGAUGUACUGCAUGAGAGACAAAUAACUCCAUAACUGUGGGAUUGACAUUUGAGAUGCUAAAUAGGAAGGGAAAAACAGUGGUAAUUUUCAGUCUAAGGACUGAUAAAACACACCAGCUGCCAUCAGACAGAACGUUUUGUAAGGCUGGAAAAAUCAAAAAAGGGGCAAAGAAGAAUUCUAUAGUUUUAUAUUUUUAAAAUGUGUUUAAAUGUCCAUUGCUGACAGAAUGUUUGCUGCCAUCCCAUUCUCAUCUUGCUGCUGCCAUGUGGACUUUUACACAGUGAACAGACCUAUUCAGGGAAAACAUACGUAGGAGUAGUUCUUCAAUUUGGAGAAAUUCAUUUGGUGCCUUCACAAGGCAAAAGGCAGAGAAAAGUGGCCACAAAGUAAACCUGGCAGGUAAUGCUGUUUAAUCCAAAGUAGUGAAUCACAUGGGAACUGUAGGACAUUUAGUAUAUUUAUGUAAUCUGUGACUCUAUGAAACUCUGCUAGUCCAAGAAAGUAGUCGACUCUGGAGGUAUAGAUUUAGAUUAUUGACUGAGCUGUUGACUUAUUUUAAGACAAAGUUUCAAAGUAAUCUGUCAGCAACAACACAUCCCAUGCCUCAUCUCACCUUCCUUACUCCUGGUGUUGGAGAAAGAUAUGUGUAAAGCUGCACUGCUUCUGUCUGCAAGCCUAAGAGGCCUUGAGUUGAAAAUGCCUUUACACUAGGUCUUCUCAUAGCUGUAUAUAUAUAUACACAUGUGUCCACUUGGUAGGUCUUGUUUUUGCAGAGAAGAAGAUUCUUUUCCUCCUAACCCUGUUGACCAGCAUUACUUUUUGGAGUCCUGCUGUGAUAAAAUUUACCAUCCAGCAACUGUAUGUGCACAGGUGGGUGAAGCCAUAGACUGUUAUGCAUAUAGUGGGGACUGUGAUAAACAAAGCUGCAUCUCACAUAGAGUUAUAAGCCAGAUGGAAACAAACAACAAUACAAAUGUUUAUUGUUCUUCAUAGCAGAGAUGAACAUUCUAUAAUCUCUCUGGACAGCCUGUGCUAGUGUUCUACCACUCUCACGGUGAUUUUACUUUUCCCAACCUCUGAUUUGCAUUUUUCUUGUUGCAGCUUAUGGCUUAAGCUUGUAGUCCUUUUGCUGUGCCACUAAAUGGAAAGCAAGAAACAAUUCUUUACAUAACCACUGCAAGACCACUGAGGGCUUGAGGGACUGUUUUAGCAGUUGCUCUGAGGUUUUGUUUACUUCAUUAGAAGAUAUUGUAGAAAAUGAUUUCAAUUUAUUUUUUUUUUUAAUAUGCUAAAAUACUUGGAAAAAGAAUGGGGUUCUUUGUAGCAAAGUGUUGGAAAGACUUGAAUGCUGAGUUUGUUGUUCAUGAGGGUCUAUUCAUAAUUCCACUACUGUUUUACAUUUUAAUCACGGAGUUUCAAGUCUAUACACAAAACUGUGAUCUCAGGAAUGGUGCACCAGUCAGUCCACGUGAUUACUUUUAGUGUUCUGUUCAUUGAAAUUAUAGGAGGUUACAUGUGGGGGAAUAUUCCUGUGAUUGUGACUUAAAACCAGAACGUUCCUAUUGAUAGUGCACUGAACACCCACUUUCUAUGUUCCAUUGUAUUACAUACAUUUCAUCUUUAGCCACAGCACAUAAUUUGAGUAAACCAGAACUACUCUUUCAUAUUACUAUCAUAACAGAUUUUUGCUCAGUUUAUCAGGCUAAAAUAUUACUUACACAAUUUUCUGUCAAGGUUAUCUUUAUAUUAUAAAGGUUAUCUUUAUAUUAUUUGUGCAGCUCUGUAUGGUACUUCUCCCUAAAUUCAUCUAUUUUCUUCACAUUUUACAUUUCAAAACUAAAUCUAAGACUCUUUCAUUUCACUCCAAUAAUAACAGUAAUAAUAAUAAAAAAUCACUUUUAUAAA